UGUAGGGUAAGCUAAAAAUAAGCUAGUGGGUUCAUACCCCAAAUAUGAAAUAUUUCUCCUACAAAUUAAUA
rnacentral:tRNA from 1 species